UCGUAACAAGGUCUCCGUUGGUGAACCAGCGGAGGGAUCAUUACAGAGUUGCAAAACUCCCCAAACCAUUGUGAACCUUACCUUCAACCGUUGCUUCGGCGGGCGGGCCACAGCGCCCCCCCGGCCCCCCCCAGCGGGGCGCCCGCCGGAGGAUACCCAAACUCUUGAUACUUUAUGGCCUCUCUGAGUCUUCUGUACUGAAUAAGUCAAAACUUUCAACAACGGAUCUCUUGGUUCUGGCAUCGAUGAAGAACGCAGCGAAAUGCGAUAAGUAAUGUGAAUUGCAGAAUUCAGUGAAUCAUCGAAUCUUUGAACGCACAUUGCGCCCGCCAGUAUUCUGGCGGGCAUGCCUGUUCGAGCGUCAUUUCAACCAUCAAGCCCCCGGGCUUGUGUUGGGGACCUGCGGCUGCCCGCAGGCCCUGAAAACCAGUGGCGGGCUCGCUGUCACACCGAGCGUAGUAGCAUCAUCUCGCUCAGGGCGUGCUGCGGGUUCCGGCCGUUAAAAGCCUCUAAUACCCAAGGUUGACCUCGGAUCA
rnacentral:misc_RNA from 1 species